AAUCAAGCGUCUUAAGGGCAUUUGGUGGAUGCCUUGGCGCGCAGAGGCGAUGAAGGACGUGGCACGCUGCGAUAAGCCAUGGGGAGCUGUGAGCAAGCUUUGAUCCGUGGAUUUCCGAAUGGGGCAACCCACCCGCAAGGGUAUCGUCACCUGAAUUCAUAGGGUGACGAAGCGAACCCGGGGAACUGAAACAUCUCAGUACCCGGAGGAAAGGACAUCAACCGAGACUCCGCUAGUAGUGGCGAGCGAACGCGGACUAGGCCAAUGCCUCAAGUCUUCUAACUGGAACCGUCUGGAAAGUCGGGCCUUAGCGGGUGAUAGCCCCGUACAGGUGUUGAAGGCAUGAGGAUACGAGUAGGGCGGGACACGUGAAAUCCUGUCUGAACAUGGGGGGACCACCCUCCAAGCCUAAGUACUCCUGCGCGACCGAUAGUGCACCAGUACCGUGAGGGAAAGGUGAAAAGCAC
rnacentral:rRNA from 1 species